CGACGACUCUUUUACACUUGUGUAUAUCUAUCUAUAAUUAUGUAUAUAAUCAAAGAAUUAUGAAUCUAUUGUAGGGAUGUGAAUGCACACAUACUAGACUGACGUCGCGAAUACCAGUCAGUAUGUGUAGAUAGGAUGUAACUCUUACUCACUCAUAGGUUCCUAUGUCAGUGAUCAGAUCCUCAAUAUGGCUUUCCUUACACCUUUCCUUUCACCUCAUGGAUACGAAUUACUUCUCCAUCUGUAAGUUAAGAAACAUAAAUGAACUACUGAUUGGUGAUACAACUACCACCUACUUGGUGACACAUCACCCUGCAGAAUGUAAGCUUAUCUCUCUUAAUGACUCUGGCUGAACACCAGCGUAUGUGAUCUUAUUCAUUACUCUCAGGUUUUACUUUAUGUCAGUUAAUUGCCCUUUUAUACAUGACCCUUUCAAUGGUGUGCUUAUCAGCACUUAAGUAACUAAGUAAGACUUAUUCAUUAGUGUGCAUGCCAGCACUUGGAUGGCCAAGAAGGCCCUAUUCAUCAGUGUGCCCGCCAGCACUUGGGUGGCCAAGAAAGCCUCUUAUAACAGUGUGCACGCCAGCACUUAGGUGGCCAAGAAAGCCUCUUAUAACAGUGUGCACGCCAGCACUUAGGUGGUCAAGGAAGACCUCUUCAACGGUGUGCACGCCAGCACUUACGUGGCCAAGAAAGCCUCUUAUAACAGUGUGCACGCGAGCACUUAGGUGGUCAAGGAAGACCUCUUCAACGGUGUGCACGCCAGCACUUACGUGGC
rnacentral:lncRNA from 1 species